GUAAUUGCUGCUGUUGUUGAAGCAAUGUGGGAGAGAACUGCUUUUCAGAAGUGUUCUUUACACUCUAAGAGGAUGGAGGAAGCUUGGUUCAUCUGGAAGAAUUGAGGUUCUGGAAGGCCCCAAGCCCAGAGGAAGUGAUGUGGGGCACAGUAAAACUUCUGCAAGCUCUUGGUGACCUAUAGAGAGCCAGUAUCUGUCUGAUCCAAAUCUCUGUGGACCUUGUGCUGGUCGAACUGCAUGCAUUACAUGACCAGAAAUACACAGAGGAUUAAUCCGCCAGUGCUUAUUUUAAAGCAUCGUGUUGUCUCUAAAGGGCAAUGCUGUUGGCGGGCACAGCGCAGCACGAUGAAGCCAACCCCACUCAGAGGAGCAGGUCCCAAGCUGCUGGCGCCGGCCCGAGGCUUCUAAUGUGAGGAAAAACACGCGGUGACAAGUGUGGAAAAGAGCAAGCACUAAAUUACUGUCAGAAAAAUAAACGGCGGAGCGCGGCGCGGGGCGGUGAUUUACGGGGGCAAUUAGUCACCGCCCCACGGAGCCGCUGGGGCCGCCGCAGCAUCCCCGGGGCUGGCCUGGCUCCGGCUCCGGGCCCAGGCCGGCACCCAGCACGGGCAUCCAGGGCUCGUCCCGCUCCUGCCGCUCAUUUUUUGCCUACUCCAAAACCAGGGGUGUGGGAGGAGAUAGGAGCCACCCCGAAAGCCACAGCCUGUGUUUGCAGGGAAGGUGGGUGUGCCGUGGAUCUUCUUGUGGUGAGUGGCUGGUGCCCGGGUGCGGGAUGAUUAAAGAAGUGAUAAGGUACUGUUAUAUGAAAAAUACUCCUGGAGACUGAAGGCUGGAAAGCUGCUGGACUGGCUGAGAGGGUGGAGGAGGCUCCACAGCUGCUGCACAUCUUCUGGAGGUGCUGUGGGCCAUUAAGCCUCCCAGUCUUCGAGGAGGGCCAGCUUUGCUGCUAGCUGGGAGUGAACAUUAUAAACCUGUUUUUAUGCUGUUAUUUGACCAGGGUGGAGUCGAGGAGACAUGUUUUAAUUUGAAGCUAGCAGCAAAGAAAUGAUGGGCAACUCAAGCACUGUCCCAGCCUGGGACCGUGACAGUGAGCCCCCAGGCAGCAUGUUGUGGGGUUUUGUAACUUUUUGCCCCAUCAGUUCUUGUUGACCUAGCAAUCCUUACUUAGUUGGUGCCUGUAUGUCAAUUCUCAUUUUAUGAGGCCUUAUUGGGCACCUAGGCCUUGUGUCCAUCCCCUGAGCAGGGGCAGCCUUAUCUGACUGUAGAUGCUCGCUGCCAUUAGACCUGCCAGCCUGGUGUCUGGCUCCUGCAAAUAGCUGGCACUGGGAUAAUGGGAGACAGCCUGUCCCAGCUCCCUGCAACAGCUGGUGCCAGCCAACCCUGCCAGGACUGCUGCCAGCAGCAGCAGGAGUGUGCCAGGGCCUGCCCAUCCAGCAGCCGACCCAUGGCUACCACCAUGGGACAAAGGGGACACAGCAGAGCGAGUCCCUCUUGACAGGGCACCUCUUGGGAAAGACAGCUGUGUGUCUUUUGGAAGAGGAUGCAAGCUGGAGGAUGCAGAGCUGGCUCUUACAGGUCCUGGUGGUUUCAGUAAGUGACCCUCCCUCCCUGCUUGAUGGGUGGGAUGUGCCACCUACCUUUGGGAAGCACUCAAGACUUACAAAUGAUCACAGAGGCAAAGCAUCAGUGGUUAUUUUGGGGUCUGCCCUAAGCUUCUUCUUCACCUUCUAGAAGUGAUUUUGGCAGGGACAUGGGUGGGUGUGCUCAUGAGGUGUUUCUGGUGCUCCCUUUCCUUGCAAGGUGCAGUCCCACUCCCACAAGUUGUUAGGCAGCCUCCUAAUAAGUGACGUGACCAGCACGUCUCUCGUGUAAUUGUCUUCCUCCCCCUGGAAAAACUUUGUGUUCUUCAAAUAAAUAAUAAAUAUCUUUAA